rnacentral:tRNA from 1 species
GGUGGCUCAGUGGUAGAGUGCUUGCCUUGCAUGCAUGAGGCUCUGGGUUCACUUCCUCAGCACCA